AACGAACGCUGGCGGCAGGCUUAACACAUGCAAGUCGAACGCGUGUAGCAAUACACGAGUGGCGCACGGGUGAGUAACGCGUGGAUAUCUGCCUUUUGGUUCGGAAUAACCCAGGGAAACUGGGGCUAAUACCGGAUGGUUCCUUCGGGAUAAAGAUUUAUCGCCAAAAGAUGAGUCCGCGUCCGAUUAGCUAGUUGGUGAGGUAAUGGCUCACCAAGGCGACGAUCGGUAGCUGGUCUGAGAGGACGAUCAGCCACACUGGGACUGAGACACGGCCCAGACUCCUACGGGAGGGAGCAGUGGGGAAUAUUGGACAAUGGGGGCAACCCUGAUCCAGCCAUGCCGCGUGAGUGAUGAAGGCCUUCGGGUUGUAAAGCUCUUUUGGCGGGGACGAUGAUGACGGUACCCGCAGAAUAAGCCCCGGCUAACUUCGUGCCAGCCGCCGCCGUAA
rnacentral:rRNA from 1 species